GUGUGGGCCCACAAACUGCACGCUAACCUGCACAGGAGGGAGAAACAUCCUGUACACCUGUAAAGGCAUGGAUCCUGUCGAGUACACGGAUUACACCUGGACAGACAGCAAGGGGACAAGGCACUCAGGGUCUGUGCUGAUGGUGGAGAUGAGUGGAAGACUGGAUAGGUUCUACACCUGCAACUUCAACAACCCGGCCAGCUGGAAUACUAGUAGCCUCCGUGAAACAGAGCUGUUUCCUUUAGCAGUUCCUUCAAUUGAUCCUACAGUUACCACAAGAAACCCCUCAUCAGAUGAUGCCGCUGCUCUCAUUGCUGGUGUUGUUUCUGGGACGAUCAUUAUUAUUUCAGCAAUAGUUGGUGCUGGAAUCUACUACUGCCUGAAAAAAGAAAGGGAAUGUGACUCUGGGACGAGAACAGAUGGCAACCAAACAAGGCCAAACCAAACAAGAUCACACUGAUUGCAGAGCUGAGACACAACAGCUACUCCAGCUGCCGCCAGCAACCACUACAAAUGGGCACGUUGCAGUUCAAGGUCAGAUGAAUGGAAGCCCAGGAGAACAAAAUGGAACAGUGAAGCACUCUUAAGCACAUCCACUGGCCGUUGGCAAUCACAUGGACGGAAAUGGUUUUUCUGCCAAUGCAGUGGAGCAACAGUGAUAAACAAAAGAGAUGGAAAUAUUUAUGUAAAAUGUUUCAACUCAGUUACCCUGAAAUUAAUCAAAUUCAUCAAAGACAUUCAGUUCAUCUGUCCUUUCCUUUUCAUCUAGUGUCACCACCAAAGUGUAUGCAUGUUGUUCUCCACAUGUCUGUUCGUUUCUACAGUGUACCAAGCAUGUUAAUUUCUGCCUCUAGUUCACAAGUUUCAAAUAGUAGAAGUAUCUUGGCGUCUAACCAGGACUUUCUGAUAGUGUGGAUGUGUAUCCUUACCCAUUAGCAUUUUUCUGAGGAGAAUGGAACUACAGUAUUUUUGGAAUGUGUGUGCAAUCUGACUUGUGUGAACAGGUCUACAUGAGGCAUAAACACAAGAGCUAUGGGCAGGGGAGCUGAAUUGGCUGGAGGCCAACAGCCAUUGUUUGGGACUGACAAGCCCCAGAGGGCAAAGUUUCAGCCAGACUGGUGUAGUUCAUAUCUUUGCAAAAGAAGCUAGUACCACUGUACCACUGAGUGUGAACUCUGCAUGCUUAUGCUUUUACCUCCAGGGACAUGUAUUGAAGUUAUUGUGCAUGACAGCCAUUGACUGGUUUGCUUAUGGGUCUAACUUGCCCAUGCCAUUGACUCCAGCAAAAAACCACUCACAUCAAAUAUCCUUCCAGUUAUAAGGGCCCACAGUUCCAAUAUCAAAGCAAUAGGUUUCAAUAGGUUGUUUUGCAGAAACACACUACAGUAUUCCCAUCUUCCCCUCCCGUUCUAUGUUUUCCAUUCUAUGUUUUCCUUGUUCCAUGAGGGCCCGCUGUAAAUGUGCUAGAGGUCAAGGUGAGGGCAAGGGACAACUGCACACUCUGUUCUCUGGUCUGACAAUCUUUUGGAGUCUUCAUGUACAGUAUGUUCUCUGGUUUGACGAUCUCUAUGGUUAUGUAAACUUAAGUUUUGACCGUCUUUUGGAGUCUUUAUGUCCUCUGAACAGUUUUUUUUAAGCAUGAGGAAAGAUAAAGAUAGAGGGGCUAAGAUUAUGAAGGCACCAGUGUCACAAGCUUAACCAUAAGGUUGAAUGCUGACCAAAGGAAUCACUUAUAGAGUACUGAGGAACGUUUACUGUAAGCUGUGCAUCCGUGUUUACUGUCAACUUGAAGUGAUACCAAGUAAAAGCUGCUUUGCUAAUGAAAACAAGUGUUUAGUGUGACGAUGCGAUUCAAACUGUACUAUUUAUUUAAUUGAAUUGUGUUUAUAUCUGGUAUUUUCUUCAUCAUUUGUUCCUGUUUCUAUUUUAGUUUAACAUGACCUAGGCACAUUGGUUGAAUGUUUUUUUUUUUUGUAAUUUGUAUGGCUGUACAUUUGUUUCCUUACAUGCGAUUUAUUGUCUGUUUUUUGUACAUGAUACACAGUGGGACAAGCUCCAUUUUGCCGCCUAUGCAGAGGGUUCCUUGGUUAUUCUAUCAGUUUGAUGAUCAACGCUUGAUGGCUUCAGCCAAAAACAUACUCAGUGGGCUGCUGCAAUGUGUGCGAAUGUGUUACUUCACUCACUGCAUGUUGCUUUGUUUGUGUUCUGUUUCUUCUUUCUUCCUUUUUAUUUCAGCUGUAUGUUGCUAUCGUUACAUGUUUUUGUACACUGUUUUGCACAAAGAUUGUUUGGAAAUUGUGGUUAAAAUAAAUCCCCAUCGUUUUAC